rnacentral:rRNA from 1 species
AUUGAACGCUGGCGGCAGGCCUAACACAUGCAAGUCGAACGCGUGGCGGACGGGUGAGUAAUGUCUGGGAAACUGCCUGAUGGCGGGGGAUAACUACUGGAAACGGUAGCUAAUACCGCAUACCAUCGGAUGUGCCCAGAUGGGAUUAGCUAGUAGGUGGGGUAAAGGCUCACAUAGGCGACGAUCCCUAGCUGGUCUGAGAGGUGGACCGGCCACACUGGAACUGAGACACGGGCAAGACUCCGACGUGAGGCAGCAGUGGGGAAUAUUGCACAAUGGGCGCAAGCCUGAUGAAGCCAGGCCGCGUGUAUGAAGAAGGCCUUGGGGUUGUAAAGUACUUUCAGCGGGGAGGCGUUACCCGCAGAGGAAGCACCGGCUAACUCCGUGCCAGCAGCCGCGGUAAUUC